AAUUUGUGGAGUCCGGAGCCCACUAUAAAAAACGGGGCGAAAUUCUGAAAAGCCAAACGAGUAAGAGCAAA
rfam:Flavobacterium subsaxonicum WB 4.1-42 = DSM 21790 strain WB 4.1-42 contig10, whole genome shotgun sequence.